rnacentral:rRNA from 1 species
AACUGCAAGUCGAACGGUUAUGACUUCGGUCAUUUCAGUGGCGAACGGGUGAGUAACACGUGAGUAACUUGCCCCAAAGACGAGGAUAACCAAGGGAAACUUUGGCUAAAACUCGAUAGGACGAUCGGUCGCAUGGCUGAUCGUUUAAAGGCGCGUAUGCGACGCUUUGGGAGAGACUUGCGCAGCAUUAGCUAGUUGGUAGGGUAGAGGCCUACCAAGGCAACGAUGCUUAGCUGGAUUGAGAGGUUGAACAGCCACACUGGAACUGAGACACGGUCCAGACUCCUACGGGAGGCAGCAGUAGGGAAUUUUCGUAAUGGGGGCAACCCUGAACGAGCAAUGCCGCGUGAACGAAGAAGGUCUUCGGAUUGUAAAGUUCUGUGGUCAGGGACGAAAGAUAUGGACAGGAAAUGGUCCAUAGAUGACGGUACCUGACAAGAAAGCUCCGGCUAACUACGUGCCAGCAGCCGCGGUAAUACGUAGGGAGCAAGCGUUAUCCGGAAUUAUUGGGCGUAAAGCGUGCGCAGGUGGUCAGAUUAGUCAAAUGUGAAAGCCCACAGCUUAACUGUGGAGGGUCAUUUGAAACUGUCUGACUAGAGUACGGUAGAGGUAAGUGGAAUUCAAUGUGUAGCGGUAAAAUGCGUAGAUAUAUUGAGGAACACCAGUGGCGAAGGCGGCUUACUGGACCGGAACUGACACUGAGGCACGAAAGCGUGGGUAGCAAACAGGAUUAGAUAC